GUUAAAUAUCGGAAUAUGGCGCUCGUGACACUAAAUGACCCUCUGUAGUCCAACUAGGGACCGUGGUGGCCAAUGAUGACCAUUGGAUUUAUUCCUAUUUUACAAUCAUGGAAGAAACCGGAGAAUCCCAUCAAGCACAGAGACAACAUUCAAACACUAUGCACACAGACGCCGAGACGGGAAUCGAACACGGACCCUGAAGGUGCAAGGCAACAGUGCUAAGCACUAAGCCACCGUGCUGCCAAAUUUUAUUAUAAUACCAAUAUUAUUCAUUUUUACACAAACACACACAUACAUAUACAGUGGAGUUUCAUUAUUACAUCUAAGCUAACCAUAAAUGACCAAAAUAGACAGUAAAGCACGAGUUAGGCAAGCAUUACUAACAAGAACCCUGUCUGUGACAGGUGUUUUUCAGGUAUUUUUACCAGGGCUAUUAAUUUAUUAAUCAAUAAGUAAAUAAAAAAGAACCAGAGCUUUUAUCAAAACAGAUAAACAAUAGCAAAACAAGAAUAGCUUACUUCUUAUAAUUACAUCUUUGAUUAUGGUACCGUUAACUACCCAUUUCUUUAAUUAGAAAAUAUUCAAA